UAACGUCAUCCCCUGUCACUAGCCGUUAGAGCCCAGGUAAGGUUCUUCGCGUUGCGUCGAAUUAAACCACAUGCUCCACCGCUUGUGCGGACCCCCGCCAAUUCCUUUGAGUUUCAAUCUUGCGAUCGUACUUCCCAGGUGGAUCACUUAAUGCUUUUGCUCAGACACCGACAGUGUAUCGCUGAUGUCGAGUGAUCAUCGUUUAGGGCGUGGACUAC
rnacentral:misc_RNA from 1 species